rnacentral:rRNA from 1 species
UUGACCUCGGAUCANGUAGGGAUACCCGCUGAACUUAAGCAUAUCAAUAAGCGGAGGAA